GUGGAGUUAAAGAACAAACUGUUAUAUGCUGCGCAUCUCCUAAAUGUUCACAAACUUGCUCGUGUGUUAUUUUGUGGGUAAAAUCAUGGUUUGUUCAAAAGACAAUUUCACAAAGUAGUUAUUACAACACAUGAAAUAAGUGAGGCACAGACAUGUUUGAAUUGAGGAAGGUUAAGAUUUUGUGUUAACAAUGGGGCCAGGAGUAAAGAAGCGUUUAGCAUAUUUAUUAAUGUGUUACAAAGCAGUUGUGUUUGGAACAGUUACUUCAUUUUCGUUUAACAAUACUAAUUUCAGAUAAAACAUUUAUCGACGUUGUCUUUUACCCAUCAAAAUCUACACACAAAUAUAAAAUUUAAACACCACAGUUUUAACGGACUAGCAAUUAAUUCAAUGUCUGGAAACAAAAUAAAAAGUUAGAGAAUAACCUUUUGAGGAAGUCUGGGGAGGAAAACAGGCACUAGUCUGAUACACAUGUUAACAGAGCGGAACUGUACAGAGAAAGCACUGAGCAUACAUUUAUAUAACAGUCCUUGUAUAUUUGGUCAUAUUGUGAUUACUACGGUUCUUGAAGCAAAGUCUGUUUUUGUACGACUUGACGGAAGCAGUGGAGAACAGACCCCUGUGUCAAAUACGAGGAAGCUACUAAACACACACACACAAAAAAAGUCAUCACUUUGCACUUCUCGUUUAUAAUGCUGACUUGUAAUUAGAAAUGUUGCAUCUAUGUCAAACAGGUUACAAUUUGCUUGGAAAUCUCUUGUUUAUUCAGUGGUGAGGAAAAUUCAUUAUACUGCUAAUACGGAUAAUUACCUAAGUCCGAUAUUUUGCAUUCAAGAAAAGGUUCAAUCUCAUAGCCCAACUGAAAUACAUUUUAUAACAAAUUUAGCUAUUCAAUCAUUGCCAAAAAUAAGAUCCCAGGCUGAUGUCGAGCUACAACGUGCAUGAUCCUAUACCUGGCUUGACAGCUUGGAGUCUACAUUAUGGCCACUCCUGGACUAAUUUUUUUUUUUUUUUUACUACAGACCUCUUAGUAGAAUGCUUUACAGUGCAACAUAAACCCCCGCCCUCCCCCCCCCCCAAAAAAAACCCCACAAAAGGUAUUUUCCUGUGUGAAAUAUUGCCCAGAGCAAAAGGUCAUCACACAAAAAAUAACAAAAGUACAAAUUUUACUUUAAUAAAGCGGUUCAGUGAGAAUAAUACAUUUUAAGACCACCUUUGCAUUUUGUAAAAAAAAAAAAUCAUUUAGAGCUAGAAAUACAACUGCCGAUAACAUUUUAAGAUUAGGGUUGUACAAAUCCUAGUAAUGACUGCCCUUUGCCAGACUGACUUUCUACUAAUUUCCGAUUUGAUUCAAGUAUUUAAUUUUAAUAUGACGUACAAUAAAUGUGUUUGAAACAAUCUUGAACACAUUUAAUGUGCUGGUAUACUGGAAGAAAGGUUUAAAAAAAAAAAAAAAAAAUAGAAUAAUCCAGAACAUUUGUGUUUCUUUUUUACAGCCUGAAGAAUUUGUUUGGAAGAACAAGGUCUAGAAGCAUCUCAAUCCUGUGGAAGAUUUGGGGGUUGCAGUGAAAUAGUUUUGAUCGAUCAUCAAAUUGGAUGAACAGAAGUGUGGUGUUUCUAAAGCCAGCAUUCACUUGAUCAUUUGAAUAAGCUAAUUCUCCGAUAAAUAAAAUACAAUUUCAGUAGAGUGUGAGAUUUUAAAGAAAUGUCUCUUGUUGAGAAGUGUAAGUAAUAAGAUUUUUUUUUUUUUUAUUCUGCCUCCAUUUAACACAGGGUAUAGAAUAAAACAACAGAAGCAAUGGGCAUUCACAGAUCUGCUUAACACAGAUGUAGACUGUCAGUUAAGUGCUUUUUUUGUAUUUUGAUCUAACAUAUUGAUAGGAUUAAUUGAGUAAUAAGUAACUGGUAUAAUUCCUACUUACUCGGGAGCCAGGUGUAAAUGAUUUAUUAAAAUGAAAUAUACAGAUGGGGAAAAAAAAAUAGAAAAUUAAUUUUUCCUCAAAUAAACCACCCUAAAAAACACCAAGAGGAGGGAAUUGUGAUUACAAAUACCCCCCCCCCCAUAAAAAAAAAAAUUAAACAUCUUGAUCAAUCUACAUUAUGGGAGGAGGCCAUCUCAUAAGCAUUUAUAAAUCGGAAAAAGUGUAGUAAAAUUUUCAUGUAAGUUAAAAAGCCUCCCUUUUCCAAGUCACUAUGUAAUAAAUAAGGAAAGACUUUGCUUUUGUUGGUAUAUAUUUUCUGUAGCACAACAUAAAACUAAAGAAGUUCUCCUCACUCUAUUAAAUGCUAUAUAUACACACCUUGCUAGGCACCAGGAAAUCACUUUUAUAUUAGUAUGGUUGCCUGAAACAUUUUAACAAUAGCGAAUUAAGCAGAGCCCAGCCACAUUAUAAGAGUUCUGGGCGGCACAAGAACCAACACCAUGUCUGGAAAUUUCCAUUUCCAUCACAGUGUUCUAUAGGGAAAUAAAGGGGUUGGACAAAAGAAAGGGUCAUAAUUAACAUGAUAAACAAUAGAACAAAACAUACAAAAUGACCAGAAAUGGAUUUAAAUAUUUACCUCCACCACACAUACAAAAUGUGGUGUUUUACCUAGAGGCACUUAAGUGCCAAGCAGGGAAACUCCAGUUAAAAUGUUGAGAAUCCCGAAGUACGCACAUUUCUUAUGUAGGUAGAAUCAAUAGUCAAACCUAGAGGGUUCAUAAAUAAACACCAAGAAUAUACAAAAUAAGGAGGGGAAAAAAAAUCCUUCAAAUACAGUUUCUAAAAAAGAAGAUUUAAUCAGAAAUCAGUACGUAAAACGGAACUGGCAAACUAUUUUGACAGAGGAUACACAGCGCAGAGCUCCCAACACUUGAAAAUCCACAUAAUUUUACUAUAUGCCGUGUUUGUACAUAGCAUUCAGAAGUUGUCUAGCCCAGAACAGUUCAGGGCUACUUUGUGCAGUCGUAUAUUAAUUACUUAAGUGGUUUUCAACAUCUUCCUAUAUAACCACUUAACUAAGUAACAAAGGCACAUAUCUCUUGCAAUUUAUUACAGACUUACUUCCUCAAAAUUAUUAUUUGUAUUAAACAAUGCAAUAUAGGUUGAUAUCUGUAUAUUUGAAGAGAUAUUUCUGUAAACCGUACACAAAAAUGUGAUCUACAUACAGUAAAUUUACUGUAAAAGAAAGGGAGAUGAGAUAUUUGUACAAAGAGAAAGACUAAUCUCUACGCAGUCAUGCAAAGUGUAAAGAAAAGCUUAGGGCUUCACAUAUAGUUCUACUAUACUACUAGAUAUUAAGCUAGAGAGUGCUCUAAAUCAGAUAUGGCCUGCCCAAUGUUUCCUGUAACAUAAGGUUGAUUUACAUUAGAACCCCCCCCCCCAAAAAAAACCCAACAAACACCCACAUGAAAUAAAAGGUGUUGCUGUAAUACAUUUUUGUUUAUCUCCAGCUGUGUUAGAGUCACAAUCAUGAUCAUUAUAACAGGAAGAUACAAGAAACACCACAAGGAUUUUAAUUAAUUUAGGGUCAGAAAGGUGCUAGCUCUAAAUUAAUGCUCAGCUUCUUGACAGUCUAGAUAUACAAUGCAUACACUAGGAUUUCACUUAAAUCUACCAAUACCUAAAUAAAAUAAUUCUAUUUGAUAAGAAUGAAUUCAUUAUCAAAAAUGGGUAUUUUUUUUUCCUUUUUCGAAAUGAGUCCCACCAGCAGAUACAAUACUUUUGAAUGGCAUCUAGGUACCCCCAAACACACAUACUGUGGCAGCAAUGUGGGUUGCACUAUUUCAGUUUUUUAAAACUUUUUGUAACCGUGAACCACAAUCACAACAUACUCCAUUUAAUAGAACAGCUAAUUUGUCAAUUACUACCAACAAAUUGACUUGCAAUUCAUAAAAAAAAAAAAAGGGGUUUAUAGCAUAACAAGUAAAAAAAAAAUUAAAAAAAAAAAAAUUAUAUAUAUAUAAAAAAAUAAAUACAAUUUCCACUUUUUGAGAAACAAAGUCUAAAAGUUAAUUCUAUCUCAUUCAUAAGACAAAAAUAUGCAGUUGUCUAUCGUCUUAUAGCAAGAAAUACGAUAAACGGAAUUGGCUGAAAACCAUACACUGCAAAAGCUAGUAAUGAAUGAUAACAGGAAGCAAGCACAGAGAAGCUCAAAAAACGAAAUUCAGUCAGUAAUGUGAUACAUAAACAUGCUUAUCAGAUUCUGUAACUUAAAAGAGGCACAUAAACACUACAGCUCUGAGUAUCGUUAUGUUUCGUAGAGUGCCUUGGAACCGUCCCCUCAAUUAAUAUCAAACAAACAGUUUAAAAGGUACAUUCCACUGUUCAAAUAUUUCAUAUUUUAUUUUGUAAAAUGAAAGGAAAAAAACCCCUAAAAAGACACUCUUUACGCAAGCUUCUUUCCCAUCUUGGCUGCAUUAGUAUUCCAGAAGUAUUAUCAAUGUCAAUUUCACCCAUACUGGAUGAGACUGACUUCAAGGGGCACUUCAAUCACCAACACAAUGUAAAUGUGUUUUGAUAGAUUUUAGCUUCGUAUUCAUGUUGUAUUUUUCCAUUGCCACUUUUUUUUUUCUCCUUCAGAAUAACAAAAAAAUAUAUAUUUUGAGCUUUCUGCAGCAUAAUUCACGCGAUAUGUUCCUGAUUUGAAGUCCUCAGUGUAUACACACAGCUGAGCCAAUGAGAGAUUAGCAGGAGUUAGGCUGCUAAAAUGACUCUGUCCUAUAACCAAUCAUAGUCUUUUUAUUAUAUGCACUAUUAUUUUAUCUUAGCAAAGCUAAAUCAAACAGGAAGACAUUCUGAAAAGGGAGGAGGUGGUGUUAUACUGCAGAACACAGCAUUUAAAAAAACAAAAAACAACUAAAUAGAUUUGAGCAAGGAGAAAACAAAACAAAACCAACAGCACUGACCGUAAAUCAAAACCUAAGCACCACUAAAUAAAACACAGACCACUUUGUCUCAACGACUGUGGUUUGGGUGAAGUGGUCCUGUACUUUUAACCCUUUAGUGCAAAACACUGCAGUUUUGUAAAAUGUUUCGUUAACAUUGUCUGUCUGAGAUGUAGUGAUCAUGUUACCUAAAAAUGUCCCUUUAAACUGGAACUCUCAUGUCACUGUUUUCGGCAUACAUUCUAUACACUGUGUUGGCAAGUUUGUCAGCAAAAGAUAUGCUUACCUGGAGAUCUCCUACUCUACUAAAGCUGAUGGAGCAACUUCUUUGCCUGCAAAUGCAGAACAAGGCAUCCUGCAACUUUCCUGGCAGGACGCACAGUGUCGUUUAGAAGCAGGGCAGCUGCACAUAGAUACUAUAUUUCUAAUGUCUGCUAAAAGCACAACCACGACUACUACUAUGAAGGGAAAAUAACCAAAAAAUGGAUAUACCAUUAAAACAAAAUAUUUCUACUGAUUCCCCCAUUUUACAAAUAAAAAUGAUACUGUUACACUCACAGCACGGCCAAUUGCGUCUGCCUAUUGAAUUGACGGCCACUAGAAGCACAAAUGUGCAAGUAAAGCAUCUAGGCACUAAGACCAUUGGAUUAAGUGCAAGUGCUCUUGGUGUCCCCUAAAUAUUUACUGCUGUGCUGAUGCGUAAUCAAAGUGUAAGAAACUUAGUGGUUUCACACAAUUCUAAAGUACCCUUGUGUGCUAGGUAUAGUGGAAUGGAGGUCCUGCCCAUUACCAGCAUAUAUUCUGGAUGACGAAGAAUUACUUGUAAUGAAACUAACUUUUAAUUCAUACAGUUUCAUUUUCAACCAGCACAAUGAGUAGAUUUAAUUGUUUAAACAGGUUCACUUUGAGGUGGAGAGGCUGAGCAGUCUUAAAAAGCACACAGGGAAGAAGAGAACAUGAUUACGUAGCUCGAGAUCAGCUUAAUAAAAAGGCAUUACAUAAGAGAAUUGCUGAGAGAAUGAUGUGCAGCCUAGGAUUGGUAGUAUAACUUGAAGUAGUUUUGGUGCUUAGAAUGUUCCUUUAUGUUAAUGAAGUGAUUUGGGGGCAUAGAUGGUGCAGUACCCCUGCAGCUUUGCCAAUGAAAAUCUAUCAUUUAUAAGAAAAAAAACAGUUUGCAGUUUCCACCCUGUUUAGUGGCUGGCAUUCAGAGAGUUACAAUGGGCAAUAGGCUUUGGACUAAGGUCUCUCCCUUCACAUAUUCUAUUAAAAAGAAACAAUGUAUAUUAUACAUACCGUUACAUUCUUAUGCUAGGUCAUUACAUGCUUUUUUUGUUAAUAGUUUACACAUUCAAGGGAAACUGUAGCCUCCCUGGUUUGUUCACUAAUAUAGUUCAAAUUAAAGAGUAAUUUCAUUAAAGGGACUCUCCAGGCAGCCGUUUUUACUCACCUGGUUCCAGCGCCGGGAGCCUCGUGAAGCCGCGCCCCCUAUUUUGUCAAAAUGACGAAAUAGGCAGGCGCGAGCAGGGAGCAAUCAGACGCUUCCAUUUGGAAGUGUCAUUGCUCGAGGGCGGCAUUCAUGCUGCCCUCUGAAGUCCUGAGCGCACUACCGCGCUCUAUGCGCGUGGCCACGAGCUGACUGACAGCUCAACUCGCGGUUCUUGUCUCCCCCCCCCUCCCCCGCUAACAGGCAGAAGAGAGAAGGCGCGCACACAGUGCCUUCUCUCUCCUGCGCACGUCAGACGUAUUUUAAUACGUCUGACGUGUACAAGGCCUUUUUAGGACCCUACAUGAUAGGAAGUCCCUCUGGUGGCCGUCUGAGUGACGGCCACUGGAGGUAUUCCUAUCAAUCAAUGUAAACACUGUAUUUUCUCUGAACAGUGUUUACAUUAGAUUGCCUUUAAGCAUUAAGCUGUAGUUGUUCAGGUGACUAUAGUGUCCCUUUAAAGGGAAACAAUAAUUCCAGGUUAAACAAAGACAUAUGCACCCACACCACUUCAAUGAGCUGAAGUGGUCUGGGUACCUAUAGUGUCCAUUUAAGAUUGGUAGCUUGUGUAAGUAUAUGUAUUCAUUCUAAUUUGCCCCUCCCCCAACCACCCACCAAUCAUAUAUAAAUGGUGAGUGAAACAAAGGAUUUUAGCAAAAUACAAGGAAAAUAAUAAUAAUUCAGGAGUAAGUAAACAUAUUUUUAUCUCCUUCUUUUGCAAGCAUAGUUACACAUCAAAGAUGAAUUAUUUUCUGCUAGUGGUCAGAUGUAAUGGUGAAGCAGCCCUAACAUAGUAAUACAGGUUGAAAGAGGAGGGGCAAAGAGAGACUUAUUAAGCUAAACCACCAAAGCUGCAUAUGGCUUAUGAUUUACAGCAUCUACAAUAAUGCUCUGAGGGAAAUAAUUUCUUACAGAACCUAAAUUAGACAUAAAAGAUUUCACUUUCAUAAAAUCUAGAUAUUAUUUAAUUUGCAGAUUUAACGUAUUAAAGGGACUCUCAGGCAUUCUAAUCACUGCAGUUCUUUUUUUGUGGUCAUAGUACUGUGUCUACAGGUGUAAACAAAACACAAAAACCAGAGGGCUCACUCAUUGCUCGCCCCCUCUAAAACUGCACUUAAUACAUAAAUUAUAUUUCAAGUGCAAAUACUGUCCAAUCUUGGACAGCAAUGACAAAAAUAAAAGAACAAAACCUACUCAAGUGUACAUAUAAACCUUCACCAUAAAGUAGUCAAUGUACCCAACAUUAACAAAAAUAAAAUGAUUUAAAAAAAUGGUCAUUAAAACACCUUAACCACUACAGCACACUUUAGGUGUUCUGGUACCGGGCACCCCUGGCACUGGACCAUGUUUAAUAGCUGCCUGAAGUCUGGCUUCUCUUCAUAGAAAUAGCAGUAUCAAUUCUGUCUGUAUUUUGGUGGAAAUCAUAGGUUGGGAGCAAUAGCUUUCCAAAUCUGUGCAAAACUGCAACAUAUAUAGGACCAAGGCACACUUCAACAAGAGAUUUUUUUUCUAAAUUUCCAAUGCACACCUGCUGUUUAUUUUGUAUCUUCAUAUUAAUCUUAUAAGAUGUCACACUACUUGCAACCUUGCUAGGCAAUGAUGCAACAUGCAUUGUCUGAGUGUCUACCUGGGUUGACUUUAAAUAGUUACGCCAACCAUCAUGACCACUUCUGCUUUUAGAAG